rnacentral:rRNA from 1 species
UACGUAGGGGGCAAGCGUUGUCCGGAAUCAUUGGGCGUAAAGCGCGUGUAGGCGGUCCGGUAAGUCGGCUGUGAAAGUCCAGGGCUCAACCCUGGGAUGCCGGUCGAUACUGCCGGACUAGAGUUCGGAAGAGGCGAGUGGAAUUCCCGGUGUAGCGGUGAAAUGCGUAGAUAUCUGGAGGAACACCGGUGGCGAAGGCGGCAUCCUGGACCGGUAUUGACGCUGAGGCGCGAAAGCUAGGGGAGCAAACGGG